AUUGAACGCUGGCGGCAGGCUUAACACAUGCAAGUCGAGCGGGGGAAGGUAGCUUGCUACCGGACCUAGCGGCGGACGGGUGAGUAAUGCUUAGGAAUCUGCCUAUUAGUGGGGGACAACAUCUCGAAAGGGAUGCUAAUACCGCAUACGUCCUACGGGAGAAAGCAGGGGAUCUUCGGACCUUGCGCUAAUAGAUGAGCCUAAGUCGGAUUAGCUAGUUGGUGGGGUAAAGGCCUACCAAGGCGACGAUCUGUAGCGGGUCUGAGAGGAUGGUCCGCCACACUGGGACUGGAACACGGCCCAGACUCCUACGGGAGGCAGCAGUGGGGAAUAUUGGACAAUGGGGGGAACCCUGAGCCAGCCAUGCCGCGUGUGUGAAGAAGGCCUUAUGGUUGUAAAGCACUUUAAGCGAGGAGGAGGCUACUCUAGUUAAUACCUAGGGAUAGUGGACGUUACUCGCAGAAUAAGCACCGGCUAACUCUGUGCCAGCCGCCGCGGUAA
rnacentral:rRNA from 1 species